UACGAGGGGGGGCAAGCGUUGUUCGGAAUUAUUGGGCGUAAAGGGCGCGUAGGCGGUUUGACAAGUCUGAUGUGAAAUCUAUGGGCUCAACCCAUAGCCUGCAUUAGAAACUGUCGGGCUUGAGUAUGGGAGAGGUGAGUGGAAUUUACGGUGUAGCGGUGAAAUGCGUAGAUAUCGUAAGGAAGACCAGUGGCGAAGGCGGGUCUCUGGACAGUUCCUGACGCUGAGGCACGAAGGCCAGGGGAGCAAACGGG
rnacentral:rRNA from 1 species